rnacentral:rRNA from 1 species
CCCUUAGAGUUUGAUCCUGGCUCAGGAUGAACGCUGGCGGCGUGCUUAACACAUGCAAGUCGAACGGGGUACCCUUGACAGAGGCUUCGGCCAAUUGAUAGGAAUACCUAGUGGCGGACGGGUGAGUAACGCGUGAGGAACCUGCCUUGGAGUGGGGAAUAACAGUUAGAAAUAGCUGCUAAUACCGCAUAAUGCAACUAAGUCGCAUGGCUUUGGUUGCCAAAGAUUUAUCGCUCUAAGAUGGCCUCGCGUCUGAUUAGAUAGUUGGCGGGGUAACGGCCCACCAAGUCGACGAUCAGUAGCCGGACUGAGAGGUUGGCCGGCCACAUUGGGACUGAGACACGGCCCAGACUCCUACGGGAGGCAGCAGUGGGGAAUAUUGGGCAAUGGGCGCAAGCCUGACCCAGCAACGCCGCGUGAAGGAAGAAGGCCCUCGGGUUGUAAACUUCUUUUAUUCGGGACGAAACAAAUGACGGUACCGAAUGAAUAAGCCACGGCUAACUACGUGCCAGCAGCCGCGGUAAUACGUAGGUGGCAAGCGUUAUCCGGAUUUACUGGGUGUAAAGGGCGUGUGGGCGGGAGAGCAAGUCAGACGUGAAAUUCCAGGGCUCAACCCUGGAACUGCGUUUGAAACUGUUCUUCUUGAGUGUCGGAGAGGUAAUCGGAAUUCCUUGUGUAGCGGUGAAAUGCGUAGAUAUAAGGAAGAACACCAGUGGCGAAGGCGGAUUACUGGACGAUAACUGACGGUGAGGCGCGAAAGCGUGGGGAGCAAACAGGAUUAGAUACCCUGGUAGUCCACGCUGUAAACGAUCGAUACUAGGUGUGCGGGGACUGACCCCCUGCGUGCCGGAGUUAACACAAUAAGUAUCGCACCUGGGGAGUACGAUCGCAAGGUUGAAACUCAAAGGAAUUGACGGGGGCCCGCACAAGCGGUGGAUUAUGUGGUUUAAUUCGAAGCAACGCGAAGAACCUUACCAGGGCUUGACAUCCUACUAACGAAGUAGAGAUACAUUAGGUGCCCUUCGGGGGAAGUAGAGACAGGUGGUGCAUGGUUGUCGUCAGCUCGUGUCGUGAGAUGUUGGGUUAAGUCCCGCAACGAGCGCAACCCUUAUUGUUAGUUGCUACGCAAGAGCACUCUAGCGAGACUGCCGUUGACAAAACGGAGGAAGGUGGGGACGACGUCAAAUCAUCAUGCCCCUUAUGGCCUGGGCUACACACGUACUACAAUGGCACUUAACAACGAGAAGCAAAGCCGCGAGGCGGAGCGAAACUCCAAAAAGUGUCUCAGUUCAGAUUGCAGGCUGAAACUCGCCUGUAUGAAGUCGGAAUUGCUAGUAAUCGCGGAUCAGCAUGCCGCGGUGAAUACGUUCCCGGGCCUUGCACACACCGCCCGUCA